rnacentral:rRNA from 1 species
UGUACACACCGCCCGUCGCUACUACCGAUUGAAUGGCUCAGUGAGGCUUUCGGACUGGCCCAGAGAGGUCGGCAACGACCACUCAGGGCCGGAAAGUUAUCCAAACUCGGUCAUUUAGAGGAAGUAAAAGUCGUAACAAGGUCUCCGUUGGUGAACCAGCGGAGGGAUCAUUACAGAGUUACAAUACUCCUAAACCCCUGUUUACUUUACCUAUACGUUGCUUCGGCAGGCGGCCCCAGGGAGGGGCCGUUUAGGUGCCUGCCGAAGGUAUACCAAACUCUUGUUUUAUAAACCUAAAGCUUCUGAGUUAUACUUUUAAAUAAGUCAAAACUUUCAACAACGGAUCUCUUGGUUCUGGCAUCGAUGAAGAACGCAGCGAAAUGCGAUAAGUAAUGUGAAUUGCAGAAUUCAGUGAAUCAUCGAAUCUUUGAACGCACAUUGCGCCCGCCAGUAUUCUGGCGGGCAUGCCUGUUCGAGCGUCAUUUCAACCCUCAAGCCCUGCUUGGUGUUGGGGCCCUACGCACCGCCGUAGGCCCUUAAAGGUAGUGGCGGGCUCGCUAAAAUCCUGAGCGCAGUAGCACAUCUCGCUUGUGGUAUUUAGUGGGUGCCGGCCGUUAAACCCCCAACUUUUAUUAGUUUGACCUCGGAUCAGGUAGGAAUACCCGCUGAACUUAAGC